rnacentral:rRNA from 1 species
UACAGAGGAUGCGAGCGUUAUCCGGAUUUAUUGGGUUUAAAGGGUGCGUAGGCGGGAUGCCAAGUCAGCGGUAAAAAUGCGGUGCUCAACGCCGUCGAGCCGUUGAAACUGGCGUUCUUGAGUGGGCGAGAAGUAUGCGGAAUGCGUGGUGUAGCGGUGAAAUGCAUAGAUAUCACGCAGAACUCCGAUUGCGAAGGCAGCAUACCGGCGCCCUACUGACGCUGAGGCACGAAAGCGUGGGUAUCGAACAGG